GCUUCUUUUCAGCUGGUUAGAAUGCCGCCCUGUCACGGCGGAGGUCGCGGGUUCGAGUCCCGUCCGGAUCG
rnacentral:tRNA from 1 species